rnacentral:rRNA from 1 species
AGGAGAGUUUGAUCCUGGCUCAGGAUGAACGCUGGCGGCGUGCCUAACACAUGCAAGUCGAACGAGAUCCAUUAAUUGAAGCUUCGGCAGAUUUUAGGAAGAUCGAGUGGCGGACGGGUGAGUAACGCGUGGGUAACCUGCCUUACAGAGGGGGAUAACAGAGAGAAAUUUCUGCUAAUACCGCAUAAGCACACAGUACCGCAUGGUACAGGGUGAAAAGAUUUAUCACUGUAAGAUGGACCCGCGUCUGAUUAGCCAGUUGGCAGGGUAACGGCCUACCAAAGCGACGAUCAGUAGCCGACCUGAGAGGGUGAUCGGCCACAUUGGGACUGAGACACGGCCCAAACUCCUACGGGAGGCAGCAGUGGGGGAUAUUGCACAAUGGAGGAAACUCUGAUGCAGCGACGCCGCGUGAGUGAAGAAGUAUUUCGGUAUGUAAAGCUCUAUCAGCAGGGAAGAUAAUGACAGUACCUGACUAAGAAGCCCCGGCUAACUACGUGCCAGCAGCCGCGGUAAUACGUAGGGGGCAAGCGUUAUCCGGAUUUACUGGGUGUAAAGGGAGCGUAGACGGGAUGGCAAGUCUGAAGUGAAAUCCUGCGGUUAAGCCGCAGAAUUGCUUUGGAAACUGUCAACCUGGAGUGUCGGAGAGGUAAGCGGAAUUCCUAGUGUAGUAGUGAAAUGCGUAGAGAUUAGGAAGAACACCGGAGGCGAAGGCGGCUUACUGGACGAUAACUGACGUUGAGGCUCGAAAGCGUGGGGAGCAAACAGGAUUAGAUACCCUGGUAGUCCCCU